rnacentral:misc_RNA from 1 species
AAAGAUGGAACAAAGACUAUUCAAGAACUGAAAAGGUAAAGAACAUGAAUAACUAAUAGACUGUUAUCCGUUCUAAAGGACAGACAUUUGUCUUUAUGUUUAUCGGAACAAGCGACGAUAUUAUUCAAUCGAUACAAGUUCUAAAUGUGAGGGCUAAAAGCAAGCUAAAAAUAACAAAUACGCUCAUGUAGUUCUACGCUAACCUUGUCCCGAACAAGCCAGCCCCACGUCGAUGUUCAUCUCAAGACCAACAAAAUUUCCUAGCAAAGAUAGUUAUAUCGAUCACACUUGAAGUCCUUGUGGAGCAGCAGGUGCAGCAACCUUAGGCUUUGGCUUCUCGACCACUAUGGCUUGUGUGGUCAGCACCAUUCCUGAAACUGAUGCUGAAUUCUGCAAGGCACAUCUUGUCACCUUGGCUGGAUCGAUGACUCCAGCUUCCACAAGAUUCUCGUAUUGGUCUGUCAUCGCGUUAUAACCCAUCUCCCAUUCGGCUUCCUUCACCUUCUCCACGACUACUUCUCCUUCAACUCCAGCAUUUUGGGCUAUCAAAGAAGCUGGGGCUACCAAUGCCUUUUGAAUGAUGUCGGCGCCCAAUCUUUCAUCAGCAUCUUCAAUCUUCUCCUUAAUGGCAGGGACAUAAGUUGAUAAAUGAACAAAAGCAGCACCACCACCAGGUACUAUUCCCUCUUCAAUUGCAGCAAAAGUUGCAUUCUUUGCAUCUUCAAUACGAAGCUUGCGGUCUUCAAGCUCGGCCUCUGUUGCAGCUCCAACCUUAAUGACGGCAACACCCCCAGAAAGCUUGGCAAUUCUCUCAGCAAGUUUCUCGGAGUCAUACACUGAGUCUGUCUCAGACAGUUCCUUUUUAAGCUGAGCAAUCCUAGAUUGUAUCUCGUCCUUUGAUGCUGCAUCAGCGAUGAUGGUUGUUGAGUCCUUGGUAAUUGUCACCUUUCUGGCAAUUCCAAGUGCUUCAACUGGGGUAUUCUCAACGAGCAGGCCCAAAUCAGUUGCCUGGUACUCAGCUCCUGUCACAAUGGCAAUAUCUUGCAGAAGAGCCUUUCUCCUUUCACCAAAUCCAGGAGCUUUGAUG